rnacentral:rRNA from 1 species
CAGUAGCCGCGGGAAUACGGAGGGGGCUAGCGUUGUUCGGAAUUACUGGGCGUAAAGCGCACGUAGGCGGCUUGGUAAGUUAGAGGUGAAAGCCCGGAGCUCAACUCCGGAAUUGCCUUUAAGACUGCCGAGCUAGUAGGUGAGAGAGGUAAGUGGAAUUCCGAGUGUAGAGGUGAAAUUCGUAGAUAUUCAGAAGAACACCAGUGGCGAAGGCGGCUUACUGGCUCAUUCUAGACGCUGAGGUGCGAAAGCGUGGGGAGCAAACAGGAUUAGAUACCCCCGUAGUCCCUGUCUCUUAUAC